rnacentral:rRNA from 1 species
UACGUAGGGUGCAAGCGUUAAUCGGAAUUACUGGGCGUAAAGCGUGCGCAGGCGGCUUUGCAAGACAGAUGUGAAAUCCCCGGGCUUAACCUGGGAACUGCAUUUGUGACUGCAUGGCUGGAGUGCGGCAGAGGGGGAUGGAAUUCCGCGUGUAGCAGUGAAAUGCGUAGAUAUGCGGAGGAACACCGAUGGCGGAGGCAAUCCCCUGGGCCUGCACUGACGCUCAUGCACGAAAGCGUGGGGAGCAAACAGG